rnacentral:rRNA from 1 species
AUUGAACGCUGGCGGCAGGCCUAACACAUGCAAGUCGAACGAGUGGCGGACGGGUGAGUAAUGUCUGGGAAACUGCCUGAUGGAGGGGGAUAACUACUGGAAACGGUAGCUAAUACCGCAUACCAUCAGAUGUGCCCAGAUGGGAUUAGCUUGUGGGUGGGGUAACGGCUCACAAAGGCGACGAUCCCUAGCUGGUCCUGGCGGAUGACCAGCCAAACCGGAACGGGGACACGGUCCGGACUCCUACGGGAGGCAGCAGUGGGGAAUAUUGCACAAGGGGGGCAAGCCUGAUGCAGCCAUGCCGCGUGUAUGAAGAGGGCCUUCGGGUUGUAAAGUACUUUCAGCGGGGAGGCGUUACCCGCAGAAGAAGCGCCGGCUAACUCCGUGCCAGCCGCCGCGGUAAUAC